rnacentral:rRNA from 1 species
GGGGGGGCAAGCGUUGUUCGGAAUUACUGGGCGUAAAGGGCGCGCAGGCGGCCUGACAAGUCCCUCGUGAAAUCCCACAGCUCAACUGUGGAACUGCGGGGGAUACUGCCGGGCUUGAGUCCGGGAGAGGAGAGUGGAAUUCCCAGUGUAGCGGUGAAAUGCGUAGAUAUUGGGAGGAACACCGGUGGCGAAGGCGGCUCUCUGGACCGGUACUGACGCUGAGGCGCGAAAGCUAGGGGAGCAAACGGGGAUUAGAUACCCCGGUAGUCCUAGCUGUAAACGUUGAGCACUUGGUGUGGCGGGUAUCGACCCCUGCCGUGCCCGAAGCUAACGCAUUAAGUGCUCCGCCUGGGGAGUACGGUCGCAAGGCUG